UACGGAGGAUCCAAGCGUUAUCCGGAUUUAUUGGGUUUAAAGGGUGCGUAGGCGGAAGAUUAAGUCAGUGGUGAAAGUUUGCAGCUCAACUGUAAAAUUGCCAUUGAAACUGAUUUUCUUGAGUGCAAAUGAGGUAGGCGGAAUGUGUUGUGUAGCGGUGAAAUGCUUAGAUAUAACACAGAACCCCGAUUGCGAAGGCAGCUUACUGGGAUGCAACUGACGCUGAGGCACGAAAGCGUGGGGAU
rnacentral:rRNA from 1 species